ensembl:snRNA U6 U6 spliceosomal RNA
GUGCUCCCUUUGGCAGCACAUAUACUAAAAUUGGAAUGAUACAGAAGAGAUUAGCAUGGGCCAUGUGCUAAGAUGAUAUGCAAAUUGAGGGGGAGGAUUAAAUAAUAU